UACGUAGGUGGCAAGCGUUGUCCGGAUUUACUGGGCGUAAAGAGCGCGCAGGCGGUCGUUCAAGUCGCGUGUGAAAGCCCCCGGCUCAACUGGGGAGGGUCACGCGAUACUGAUCGACUCGAAGGCAGGAGAGGGUAGUGGAAUUCCCCGGUGUAGUGGUGAAAUGCGUAGAUAUCAGGAGGAACACCAGUGGCGAAGGCGGCUUCCUGGACACCAACUGACGCUGAGACGCGAAAGCGUGGGGAGCAAACAGG
rnacentral:rRNA from 1 species